UUUAUAAAUUUAUAUGAUGAAGAUCAUUUAAAUUUGGCUAUCAAUUUUUUUAAAAUUUUAAUUGUAUUAUUUAAAUUUUUAUUUAUUUGAUUUAAAUCGGUCAAUAAUAUUUUAACUCUAAAAUUUAAGCUAUUUACUUACUUUACUAAACUUAUAGUUGUAACAACUAUAAGUCUGUAAAAAUAAACAGUAUAUUUAAAUUUUAAAGUUGAAGUGUCUUUAACUGAUUCUAAUUAGAUAAAUUAAAAAAUUAGAUAGUAAAAUCAAAUAAAAGUUUAGACAGUCAAAUCUAAAUAGUCCAAAGUUUAGACAAGUUUUGUACAUUUUUAUCCAAAAUGUAUAUA
rnacentral:lncRNA from 1 species